rnacentral:rRNA from 1 species
CUCUGCGCAAGGGAUCUUUUGGUUCGCUAGACGAAGAAGGGCGCAGCGGAAUGCGAAAUG